AUACGGAGGGUGCAAGCGUUGUUCGGAAUUACUGGGCGUAAAGCGCGUGCAGGCGGUUUGGUAAGUCAGAUGUGAAAGCCCUGGGCUCAACCCGGGAAGUGCAUUUGAAACUGCCUUUCUUGAGUAUGGGAGAGGAGAGUGGAAUUCCCAGUGUAGAGGUGAAAUUCGUAGAUAUUGGGAGGAACACCCGUGGCGAAGGCGACUCUCUGGACCAAUACUGACGCUGAGACGCGAAAGCGUGGGGAGCAAACAGGAUUAGAAACCCCGGUAGUCC
rnacentral:rRNA from 1 species